rnacentral:rRNA from 1 species
UACGUAGGGGCCCAGCGUUGUCCGGAAUCAUUGGGCGUAAAGCGCGCGUAGGCGGCCAGACAAGUCCGGUGUGAAAGUCACAGGCUCAACCUGUGAAUGCCGCUGGAAACUGUCUGGCUAGAGUCCGGAAGGGGCGAGUGGAAUCCUGGUGUAGCGGUGAAAUGCGCAGAUAUCAGGAGGAACACCUAUGGCGAAGGCAGCUCGCUGGGACGUUACUGACGCUGAGACGCGAAAGCGUGGGGAGCAAACAGG